rnacentral:lncRNA from 1 species
UUCUGCCUUCCCUCACAGAGAAAGAUUCACAUGUACCUGGCCAAACGAACAACUCCAUGUUUUCCAAAAGGCUUGGAGAACAUACCAGGUACCUCUCCUCUUUCCCUUUGUGUUUGUCAUUUUGGCGAAUUACUGGAAGAUGGUGGUUCCAGCUGAAAGGCUUUUUGGCAAUUUUUAACAGCUGAAAAUAAACCUUGAAAUAAACAUUUUCUCCUUUAACUGAUGUCUGGGAAGGAAGAAACAAAAAAAGAAAGAGAAGAAAGGAAAUAAGGAAGGAGGGAGGGAGAGAGUGAAGGAGGGAAGAAAAGAGAAUUAAACACGAUUAUCUACAUAUCAAUGGAAAAUUUCAAAUAUAUUCUAGCAUAAUUUUUUUCUACUUAGUAUCCAUUAAAAAAGGGAAUCAUUGUGGAAUGCUUAAAUCAAUCAAAUGAACACAGCCAUCCCUCGGAUACUUAUUUUUUUUUUUUUUUGUGGUGAGAACAUUUGAAAUUGAUUCUCUUAGUAGUUUCGAAAUGUGCCAUAUGUUAACUAUAGUCACUGUGCUGUGUAAUAGAUCUCAAAAAGUACUCCUCUGCAUCAUAUACAUAUAUCAUAACCUUGUAUUAUACCCCAUAAAUAUGUAUAAUUAUAAUCUGUCCGUUAAAAAUAAAAAUUAAGCU